UUAGAAAAUAAACUUGCUCUUUAAUGGGGGAUGGGAGAGCAGGCUGUCCCGGCGAGAAUGGGGUUAGGUGUCAGAAGCGCAUCCCCCUGCGGGCCAAGUCAGCUCGGGCCUCCUGGAUCUGGCUCUGCAGCUCGCGGGCGGCGUCCUCACAGUCGUGAAAAGUGGCCACACGAUAGCCCACAGUGCCCAGGGCUCCCAUGGUCAAGGCUGCCCAGGCGGAGCCCAGGAGCGCCAGUGCCCAAAGCCACUGUGCUAAUUUCGUCAUGGUCACUGCGGGAAGAGAAAGCAGAGCUCGAGGUUCCUUCCACCCAGCUACCCCCGCUUCAUUGGAGACCCAUUCCCUGUCCUCCUCCCUCCCCACCCCCC
rnacentral:lncRNA from 1 species